CCUACGGGAGUCAGCCGUUCUUACUAUUGGUCCAUGGGCGCGAGCCUGAACCAGCCAAGUAGCGUGAAGGAUGACUGCCCUACGGGUUGUAAACUUCUUUUAUAAAGGAAUAAAGUGAGGCACGUGUGCCUUUUUGUAUGUACUUUAUGAAUAAGGAUCGGCUAACUCCGUGCCAGCAGCCGCGGUAAUACGGAGGAUCCGAGCGUUAUCCGGAUUUAUUGGGUUUAAAGGGAGCGUAGAUGGGUUGUUAAGUCAGUUGUGAAAGUUUGCGGCUCAACCGUAAAAUUGCAAUUGAUACUGGCAGCCUUGAGUACAGUUGAGGUAGGCGGAAUUCGUGGUGUAGCGGUGAAAUGCUUAGAUAUCACGAAGAACUCCGAUUGCGAAGGCAGCUUACUAAACUGCCACUGACAUUGAUGCUCGAAAGUGUGGGUAUCAAACAGGAUUAGAUACCCCAGUAGUC
rnacentral:rRNA from 1 species